rnacentral:rRNA from 1 species
UACGUAGGGGGCAAGCGUUGUCCGGAUUUAUUGGGCGUAAAGAGCGUGUAGGCGGUCAGGUAGGUCCGUUGUGAAAACUCGAGGCUCAACCUCGAGACGCCGAUGGAAACCAUCUGACUAGAGUCCGGAAGAGGAGAGUGGAAUUCCUGGUGUAGCGGUGAAAUGCGCAGAUAUCGGGAAGAACACCCGUGGCGAAGGCGGUUCUCUGGGACGGUACUGACGCUGAGACGCGAAAGCGUGGAGAGCGAACAGG